CUGAUAGUCAAAUAGCGGUCGCACGAAAAAGGCCGCAGUGGCCGCUCUUAGGUUACUCUCUGAUUACAUCGAAGGCCAGAGAUACGCGAUCAAGUGAAAGAAUAGUCAAGAGAAUAAUGCGCAUUCUUUUCAGCAAACACAGAUCAUACAAAGGGCAACAAUUCAGCAUUGCCAACAUCUGGAACAAGAAACCAAGGAUCAUUAUUAAGCUGUGCAACUGAAUAAUUUAUUUUAAUUUAUAAAUUACAACAUUAGAGAACAUGCAUAGUAUCUUUAGAGUUAUAAAUUUAUCAUGUUCUCACUUACCAAUAUCAAAAAAUUUUUUAAUUUAAAAAAAGGAUAACUCAGGUGACAAUUUUUCUUCUUAGCAAAGAUUUUAAAUAAAACAAUAUACAAAAUUACAAAAUUACAAAAUUAGAAGAAAGUUGACGAUAAGAAAGAUUAUAUUGCAUAUUUAUCUUAAAAAAAGUGUUUUAUAAGAGACAAUAAUUUAUUUAAUUGAAGAAAUAAAAGUACUCAAGUACUUUUCAAACACUAAUGCAUGAGUUACGUUUCACAUCGUAGCAAUUAAUGUGAACAAAAUAUUAUAUAAUAAAUAAUGACAUUGUUGCAAGCAUAGAUACAAAAAGCUUCUCUAAAUAUGUAAUUAAUAUUGUAAUACCACUUCGAAUAAAAAAAUAUUAAAAAUAAAAACAAAAUUGACAUUUCUUGAUUUAAACUGGUAUGUCAAAUAGUUACUUGACAAAUAAUAAAGCAACUAUUAAAAUGAGGAUUGAAAUAUAAUUUAACAGUGACACACGCAGCACUACCUUUCCAUUAACGUCCGUCCCA